rnacentral:rRNA from 1 species
CAGCAGCCACGGUAAUACAGAGGUCCCGAGCGUUGCUCGGAUUCAUUGGGCGUAAAGGGUGUGUAGGCGGGAGGGCACGUCCGUCGCUGAAAUCCCCCGGCUCAACCGGGGAACGGGCGCGGAUACGACUCUUCUGGAGGAACGUAGGGGGACCUGGAACUUCCGGUGGAGCGGUGAAAUGCGUUGAGAUCGGAAGGAACGCCCGUGGCGAAAGCGAGGUCCUGGACGUUUACUGACGCUGAGACGCGAAAGCCAGGGGAGCGAACGGGAUUAGAUACCCCCGUAGUCCCUGUCUCUUAUA